AAAAAGUUAGUUAAAACAUAAUAUUAGGUUGUCAGCCUUACGUUGCUAAUUUUAUUUAGUACUUUUUA
rnacentral:tRNA from 1 species